rnacentral:rRNA from 1 species
CGCGGCCUAUCAGCUUGUUGGUGGGGUGAUGGCCUACCAAGGCGGUGACGGGUAGCCGGCCUGAGAGGGCGACCGGCCACACUGGGACUGAGACACGGCCCAGACUCCUACGGGAGGCAGCAGUGGGGAAUAUUGCGCAAUGGGCGGAAGCCUGACGCAGCGACGCCGCGUGGGGGAUGACGGCCUUCGGGUUGUAAACCUCUUUCGCCAGGGACGAAGCUUUUGUGACGGUACCUGGAGAAGAAGCACCGGCCAACUACGUGCCAGCAGCCGCGGUAACACGUAGGGUGCGAGCGUUGUCCGGAAUUAUUGGGCGUAAAGAGCUCGUAGGCGGUGUGUCGCGUCGGCCGUGAAAACUUGGGGCUUAACUCUGAGCGUGCGGUCGAUACGGGCAUCACUUGAGUUCGGCAGGGGAGACUGGAAUUCCUGGUGUAGCGGUGAAAUGCGCAGACAUCAGGAGGAACACCGGUGGCGAAGGCGGGUCUCUGGGCCGAUACUGACGCUGAGGAGCGAAAGCGUGGGGAGCGAACAGGAUUAGAUACCCUGGUAGUCCACGCCGUAAACGUUGGGCGCUAGGUGUGGGGACCAUUCCACGGUUUCUGCGCCGCAGCUAACGCAUUAAGCGCCCCGCCUGGGGAGUACGG